AUGACAGAAUUUCCUGGGUUUUUAAAGCAUAAAUAGUAUGUCAUUGUGUAUAUAUAUGUUACAUUUUUCUUAUGCAUUCGUCGGUUGAUGGACGCUUAGUUGAUGCCAUAUUUUGAGUGUCUUGAGUAAUACUGCCAUGAACAGCGGGAGUGCAGAUAUCUUUUUGACAUACGAAUUUCAUUUUUUUUUUUUUUGGCUAUGCAUCCAGUAAUAGCAGAAUUGUUGGAUCCUAUGAAAGAGCCAGAGCCAGAUGGCAACAGGAGUGAGAAAGGUAGAAGAUGAAUGAUUGAGGAUGAAAAUUCCCUCAAGAGAUUUUAUUUGACCAACAUCAAUUCAAUGAAAGCUGUGAUUAAGAGGUUUCACACGGAUGGAGCUGGAAGCCAUUAUCCUCAGCAAACUAACACAGGAACAGAAAACCAAAUAGCGCAUCUUCUCACUUACAAGUGGGAGCUGAACAACGAGAACACAUGGACACAGGGAGGGAAAAAGCACACACCGGGGACUCUCAGGGGAGGGCAG
rnacentral:lncRNA from 1 species